rnacentral:rRNA from 1 species
GAUGAACGCUGGCGGCGUGCCUAAUACAUGCAAGUCGAGCGAACAGACGAGGAGCUUGCUCCUCUGACGUUAGCGGCGGACGGGUGAGUAACACGUGGAUAACCUACCUAUAAGACUGGGAUAACUUCGGGAAACCGGAGCUAAUACCGGAUAAUAUAUUGAACCGCAUGGUUCAAUAGUGAAAGACGGUUUUGCUGUCACUUAUAGAUGGAUCCGCGCCGCAUUAGCUAGUUGGUAAGGUAACGGCUUACCAGGGCGACGAUGCGUAGCCGACCUGAGAGGGUGAUCGGCCACACUGGAACUGAGACACGGUCCAGACUCCUACGGGAGGCAGCAGUAGGGAAUCUUCCGCAAAGGGCGAAAUCCUGACGGAGCAACGCCGCGUGAGUGAUGAAGGUCUUCGGAUCGUAAAACUCUGUUAUUAGGGAAGAACAAAUGUGUAAGUAACUACGCACGUCUUGACGGUACCUAAUCAGAAAGCCACGGCUAACUACGUG